CUGGGAGGACCAUCUCCUAAGGCUAAAUACUCUCUAGUGACCGAUAGUGAACCAGUACCGUGAGGGAAAGGUGAAAAGCACCCCGGAAGGGGAGUGAAAUAGAACCUGAAACCGUGUGCUUACAAGUAGUCAGAGCCCGUUAAUGGGUGAUGGCGUGCCUUUUGUAGAAUGAACCGGCGAGUUACGAUUUGAUGCAAGGUUAAGCAGUAAAUGUGGAGCCGUAGCGAAAGCGAGUCUGAAUAGGGCGUUUAGUAUUUGGUCGUAGACCCGAAACCAGGUGAUCUACCCUUGGUCAGGUUGAAGUUCAGGUAACACUG
rnacentral:rRNA from 1 species